AUAGAGUUUAAUAUAUGUAGUAAUUAGUUGAGUUAAGAUUUAAUUUUUGGUUAUUAUGAAAUUUAUUUAAUUGGGGUGAUUAAGAGAUAAAUAAAACUCUUUUUGAAUUUUAAUAUUAUAAUUAGUUAUAUGAUCCAUAAUUAAUGAUUAUAAGAUUAAAUUACCUUAGGGAUAACAGCAUAAUUCUUUUUGAGAGUUCAUAUUAAAAAAAGAGCUUGUGACCUCGAUGUUGGAUUAGGAUUAGUUUUGGGUGUAGAUGUUCAAUAACUAGGUCUGUUCGACCUUAAAAAUCCUACA
rnacentral:rRNA from 1 species